CGCCAUAGCUCAGCUGGAUAGAGCAGGAGACUUCUAAGCUCAAGGUCGUAGGUUCGAACCCUACUGGCG
rnacentral:tRNA from 1 species